rnacentral:lncRNA from 1 species
AUUAGUAGAUUUUCAUCCAAAUUUUUGAAAAAAAUGGGGUGGGUGGGAGGAUUUUAUUUUUUAAAUUUUAUUUCAUAUGAAACCUUUUUGUGACGAGUUCUUCAUAUAUGCAAGUGUAAUGAUAUAAGCUUAUAUCAUGUAUACACAAGUAUGAGGAAUCUUACAUAAUUUUUCAAAUCCUUAAAUAAAUACUAUCUAAUUGCGGCUUUAAAAACUAAACAACAAAAAACGUGUGAGAAAUGCUCUCUACAGUUGGACUACCUUCACUAAAUGUAUUAGGGUUUCAAAACGAUGGUUUGUAUUCCAUUAAAAUGAAGCAAAUGCAUUGGUAUGCAACACAUUUAUUAUGAGUACAGAAUAAAAUGAAAACUCGAACAGUGUUGAAAUAAUUGGGU